GAUGAAGAACGUAGCGAAAUGCGAUAGUAAUGUGAAUUGCAGAAUUCAGUGAAUCAUCGAGUCUUUGAACGCACAUUGCGCCCCCUGGUAUUCCGGGGGGCAUGCCUGUCCGAGCGUCAUUGCUGCCCUCAAGCACGGCUUGUGUGUUGGGCCCCCGCCCCCCGGUCCCGGGGGGCGGGCCCGAAAGGCAGCGGCGGCACCGCGUCCGGUCCUCGAGCGUAUGGGGCUUUGUCACCCGCUCUGUAGGCCCGGCCGGCGCCCGCCGGCGACCCCAAUCAAUCUUUUUCAGGUUGACCUCGGAUCAGGUAGGGAUACCCGCUGAACUUAAGCAUAUAAAUAAGCGGAGGA
rnacentral:misc_RNA from 1 species